AGCGAACGUUAGCGGCGGGCCUAACACAUGCAAGUCGAACGCGAAAGGUCUUCGGACUGAGUAGAGUGGCGCACGGGUGAGUAACACGUAGGUAAUCUACCCUUUGGCGGGGAUAACGUUCCGAAAGGAGCGCUAAUACCGCAUAAGACCACGGAGUCUCCGGACGCUGUGGGAAAAGGUGGCCUCUUCUUGAAAGCUACCACCGAAGGAUGAGCCUGCGUCCCAUCAGCUAGUUGGUAAGGUAAUGGCUUACCAAGGCGAAGACGGGUAGCUGGUUUGAGAGAAUGAUCAGCCACACUGGCACUGGAACACGGGCCAGACUCCUACGGGAGGCAGCAGUGAGGAAUAUUGGGCAAUGGGCGAAAGCCUGACCCAGCCACGCCGCUUGAGUGAUGAAGGCCCUCGGGUCGUAAAGCUCUGUGGAGAGGGACGAAAACCCUGGUUUCAAAUAGGCUCCAGGCUUGACGGUACCUCUUUAGCAAGCACCGGCUAACUCUGUGCCAGCAGCCG
rnacentral:rRNA from 1 species